rnacentral:rRNA from 1 species
AUGAAUCUGCUAUCCUGGAACUGUCGAGGCUUGGGGUUGGACUCCACAGUGGGCAAACUUCGCGACCUGGUUAGGUGUCACAACCUAGCGGUGGUUUUCUUAUUUGAGACAAAGAAAGAAGCUAGAGCGAUGGACAAACUUAAAUGGAGUUUGGGCUUCAAGAAUGGGGUGGCGGUGGAUUGUGUGGGCAGGAGUGGGGGUUUGGCCCUCUGGUGGAGAGAUGAUAUUCAAGUUACAGUUAAACCAUGGUGCCAAUACUUUAUUGAUGCUGAAAUUAUCUGUGACAGCAAAACCUCAAGAGUCACUGGAUUCUAUGGGGAGCCGAACACGGAGAUGAGGAAGAAAUCGUGGGAUGUAAUCAGAUAUUUACGGAGGCAAAAUGAUCUCCCUUGGAUUUGUGUGGGUGACUUCAACGAGGCAUUAUUCGAAACAGACCAAGUUGGAGGCAACACAAGGAGUUUUACUCGCAUGGAGGAUUUUAGGGACUGUUUGGCCGACAGCGGUCUUACAGACUUGGGCUUCUCCUGA